UACGAAGGGAGCAAGCGUUGCUCGGAUUUAUUGGGCGUAAAGGGUGUGUAGGCGGUUUGAUAAGUUAGAUGUGAAAGCCCAGGGCUUAACCCUGGAAUUGCAUUUAAGACUGUCAGACUUGAAGAUUGGAGAGGUUAGCAGAAUUCCCAGUGUAGAGGUGAAAUUCGUAGAUAUUGGGAAGAAUACCAAUGGCGUAGGCAGCUAACUGGCCAAAUCUUGACGCUGAGGCACGAAAGCGUGGGGAGCAAACAGG
rnacentral:rRNA from 2 species